UGGCGGCAGGCUUAACACAUGCAAGUCGAGCGGUAGCAGAUCUAGCUUGCUAGAUGCUGACGAGCGGCGGACGGGUGAGUAACGCGUAGGAACCUGCCCAGUAGUGGGGGAUAGCCCGGGGAAACUCGGAUUAAUACCGCAUACGCUCUACGGAGGAAGAGGGGGCUUCGGCUCUCGCUAUUGGAUGGGCCUGCGUGAGAUUAGCUAGUUGGUGAGGUAAUGGCUCACCAAGGCGACGAUCUCUAGCUGGUCUGAGAGGAUGAUCAGCCACACUGGGACUGAGACACGGCCCAGACUCCUACGGGAGGCAGCAGUGGGGAAUAUUGCACAAUGGGCGCAAGCCUGAUGCAGCCAUGCCGCGUGUGUGAAGAAGGCUUUCGGGUUGUAAAGCACUUUCAGUGGGAGGAAGGCCUCGUAGUUAAUAGCUGCGAGGAUUGACGUUACCCACAGAAGAAGCACCGGCUAACUCCGUG
rnacentral:rRNA from 1 species